GACGCGGCGCGGACGGGUGAGUAAUGUCUGGGAAACUGCCUGAUGGAGGGGGGAUAAACCACUGGAAACGGUGGCUAAUAUCCGCAUAACGUCGCAAGACCAAAAGUGGGGGACUUCGGGCCUCAUGCCAUCAGAUGUGCCCAGAUGGGAUUAGCUUGUAGGUGGGGUAACGGCUCACCUAGGCGACGAUCCCUAGCUGGUCUGAGAGGAUGACCAGCCACACUGGAACUGAGACACGGUCCAGACUCUACGGGAGGCAGCAGUGGGGAAUAUUGCACAAUGGGCGCAAGCCUGUUGCAGCCAUGCCGCGUGUAUGAAGAAGGCUUCGGGUUGUAAAGUACUUUCAGUGGGGAGGAAGGCGUGAUGUUUAAUACGCAUCGCGAUUGACGUUACCCACAGAAGAAGCACCGGCUAACUCCGUGCCAGCAGCCGCGGUAAUACGGAGGGUGCAAGCGUUAAUCGGAAUUACUGGGCGUAAAGCGCACGCAGGCGGUCUGUUAAGUCAGAUGUGAAAUCCCCGGGCUCAACCCGGGAACUGCAUUUGAAACUGGCAGGCUUGAGUCUCGUAGAGGGGGGUAGAAUUCCAGGUGUAGCGGUGAAAUGCGUAGAGAUCUGGAGGAAUACCGGUGGCGAGGCGGCCCCCUGGACGAAGACUGACGCUCAGGUGCGAAAGCGUGGGGAGCAAACAGGAUUAGAUACCCUGGUAGUCCACGCCGUAAACGAUGUCGACUUGGAGGUUGUGCCCUUGAGGCGUGGCUUCCGGAGCUAACGCGUUAAGUCGACCGCCUGGGGAGUACGGCCGCAAGGUUAAAACUCAAAUGAAUUGACGGGGGCCCGCACAAGCGGUGGAGCAUGUGGUUUAAUUCGAUGCAACGCGAAGAACCUUACCUGGCCUUGACAUCCAGAGAACUUCCCAGAGAUGGAUUGGUGCUUCGGGAACUCUGAGACAGGUGCUGCAUGGCUGUCGUCAGCUCGUGUUGUGAAAUGUUGGGUUAAGUCCCGCAACGAGCGCAACCCUUAUCCUUUGUUGCCAGCGGUUAGGCCGGGAACUCAAAGGAGACUGCCGGUGAUAAACCGGAGGAAGGUGGGGAUGACGUCAAGUCAUCAUGGCCUUACGGCCAGGGUAACACGUGCUACAAUGCGCAUACAAAGAGAAGCGACCUCGCGAGAGCAAGCGGACCUCAUAAAGUGCGUCGUAGUCCGGAUUGAGUUCUGCCCUC
rnacentral:rRNA from 1 species